rnacentral:rRNA from 1 species
UACGUAGGGACCAAGCGUUGUUCGGAUUUACUGGGCGUAAAGGGCGCGUAGGCGGCUUGACAAGUCACUUGUGAAAUCUCCGGGCUUAACUCGGAACGGCCAAGUGAAACUGUCAUGCUAGAGUGCAGAAGGGCGAAUCGGAAUUCUUGGUGUAGCGGUGAAAUGCGUAGAUAUCAAGAGGAACACCUGAGGUGAAGACGGGUUGCUGGGCUGACACUGACGCUGAGGCGCGAAAGCCAGGGGAGCGAACGGG